rnacentral:rRNA from 1 species
GACGGAAGGUGCAAGCGUUGCUCGGAAUCACUGGGCGUAAAGGGUGCGUAGGCGGCCGUGCAAGUCUGGCGUGAAAGCCCCGGGCUCAGCCCGGGAAGUGCGCUCGAAACUGCGCGGCUCGAGUGCCGGAGGGGAGACUGGAAUUCCUGGUGUAGCGGUGAAAUGCGCAGAUAUCAGGAGGAACACCGGUGGCGAAGGCGGGUCUCUGGGACGGUACUGACGCUGAGACGCGAAAGCGUGGGGAGCGAACAGG